rnacentral:rRNA from 1 species
UACUCGAGUGGCGAACGGGUGAGUAACACGUGGGUGAUCUGCCCUGCACUCUGGGAUAAGCCUGGGAAACUGGGUCUAAUACCGGAUAGGACCAUGCUUUAGUGUGUGUGGUGGAAAGUUUUUUCGGUGUAGGAUGAGCCCGCGGCCUAUCAGCUUGUUGGUGGGGUAAUGGCCUACCAAGGCGGCGACGGGUAGCCGACUGAGAGGUUGGUCGGCCACAUUGGGACUGAGAUACGGCCCAG